rnacentral:rRNA from 1 species
UACGUAGGUGGCAAGCGUUGUUCGGAAUUAUUGGGCGUAAAGGGCGCGUAGGCGGUUUGCUAAGUCAGUUGUGAAAGCCCGGGGCUCAACCUGGGGGCUGCGCUUGAUACUGGUGAGCUUGAAUGCGGGAGAGGAUAGUGGAAUUCCCAGUGUAGAGGUGAAAUUCGUAGAUAUUGGGAAGAACACCGGUGGCGAAGGCGGCUAUCUGGCCCGUAGUUGACGCUGAGGCGCGAAAGCGUGGGGAGCAAACAGG